rnacentral:sRNA from 1 species
GACGAUGCAGAGGGCUGUAAGUGUGGUGGCCCAUCUGGGCUCUCGCCUGCAGGCAUUCUCCCCGGCCUUGUGUCGUCCAUUUAGUUGCGCACAGGACACCGCUGUAUGACUUCCACCUGGCCCACGGCGGGAAAAUGGUGGCGUUUGCGGGUUGGAGUCUGCCAGUGCAGUACCGGGACAGUCACACUGACUCGCACCUGCACACACGCCAGCACUGCUCGCUCUUUGACGUGUCUCAUAUGCUGCAGACCAAGAUACUUGGUAGUGACCGGGUGAAGCUGAUGGAGAGUCUAGUGGUUGGAGACAUUGCAGAGCUAAGACCAAACCAGGGGACACUGUCGCUGUUUACCAACGAGGCUGGAGGCAUCUUAGAUGACUUGAUUGUAACCAGUACUUCUGAGGGCCACCUGUAUGUGGUGUCCAACGCUGGCUGCUGGGAGAAAGAUUUGGCCCUCAUGCAGGUAUACCCCCUCUGUGUUCUAGGCACCUUGUCUUCCUUGUUCAUAGAGCAGCAUCCUUGUUAUCCAAGACAGGGUUGGCACAGACAAAGGACCUGGAAAAUGGCUCUUUCAGUGAAUGAACAGCUAUGAGACUCAAGAGCAGGCCCUCUCUGGAGCAUGCCAGGGUUUGGUGGUGGGGGAUUACCAGGCAUGGGGAGGGGGUCUUGGCCCCUCUGGUGUGAGGUGGCAGACCUGGGCUUGGGUCAUCUCUAUCACUUAGUAGCUAUGUGACCUUGUAAGAUGGGAACCAGCCUACUACCUUUUUUUCCUCCCUCCUCCUCCUCCUCUCCACUGUCUUACUACUGUCCAGCUCUGCAGCGUCCAGCCCAUGGUAGCUGCUCAGUAAGUGGCCCCAGAUGCUCUUGUGUUUCUGUCUUUUAGGACAAGGUCAGGGAGCUUCAGAACCAGGGCAGAGAUGUGGGCCUGGAGGUGUUGGAUAAUGCCCUGCUAGCUCUGCAAGUGCUGUGAUGGAGGUGUUUGGCGUGUCUGGCUGCCGUGUGACCCGCUGUGGCUACACAGGAGAGGAUGGUGUGGAGAUCUCGGUGCCGGUAGCGGGGGCAGUUCACCUGGCAACAGCUCUUCUGAAAAACCCAGAGGUGAAGCUGGCAGGGCUGGCAGCCAGGGACAGCCUGCGCCUGGAGGCAGGCCUCUGCCUGUACGGGAAUGACAUUGAUGAACACACUACACCUGUGGAGGGCAGCCUCAGUUGGACACUGGGGAAGCGCCGCCGAGCUGCUAUGGACUUCCCUGGAGCCAAAGUCAUUGUUCCCCAGCUGAAGGGCAAGGUGCAGCGGAGGCGUGUGGGGUUGAUGUGUGAGGGGGCCCCCAUGCGGGCACACAGUCCCAUCCUGAACAUGGAGGGUACCAAGAUUGGUACUGUGACUAGUGGCUGCCCCUCGCCCUCUCUGAAGAAGAAUGUGGCGAUGGGUUAUGUGCCCUGCGAGUACAGUCGUCCAGGGACAAUGCUGCUGGUAGAGCUUCCUUCAGGACCCUGCUUCUGAGUGACGGACCAGCUCACACAAUGUCUUGUUUCAGUCCAUGAUCCCACUGACCUACUCUUGCCUGCUGGAGGGUAAUGAGAAGCUUUGGUUCUGCCAUCUCUCCCACUCUGCCAGGUGCUGGCUGUGGAGCAAAGGCUCACCUUUGUGGGGAGGAUAAAACCUGCCCAACCUACCUCACCAUGGUUUUUCACAUUGCAAACGGUAAUAACAUGGGCAGUGUGGACUUAGGCUACCCCCUCCAGUUUGCUUUCCGUAAAUGCAAAUUGUCCCUACUGCAAGUCAGGAAUGAUUGCCGACUCACAGUAGGGCUGCUAUGCCUGUGUGUAAACUUGGGGAUGGCUGAGGGAACACAGACUCACUCUUCCGCAUUCCCAAGUUGGUCUAGUGUGCUGCCCAGUAGCAAACCAUGGCAGGCUCACCACCUAUUCUGAGCUCCAGGGCU